AUACAGAGGGUGCAAGCGUUAAUCGGAAUUACUGGGCGUAAAGCGCCCGCAGGCGGCUCAUCAAGUCUGGGGUGAAAUCUCUCGGCUCAACCGGGAGCGGUCUCUGGAAACUGAUGGGCUCGAGAAGAGCAGAGGAGAGUGGAAUUCCCGGUGUAGCGGUGAUAUGCGUAGAUAUCGGGAGGAACACCAGUGGCGAAGGCGGCUCUCUGGGCUCUUUCUGACGCUGAGGGGCGAAAGCGUGGGGAGCGAACCGGAUUAGAAACCCCAGUAGUCC
rnacentral:rRNA from 1 species